AAUAGAUACCCGGGUAGUCCACGCCGUAAACGAUGAGUGCUAGGUGUUGGGGGGACCCCCCUCAGUGCCGCAGGUAACCCAAUAAGCACUCCGCCUGGGGAGUACGGUCGCAAGACUGAAACUCAAAGGAAUUGACGGGGGCCCGCACAAGCGGUGGAGCAUGUGGUUUAAUUCGAAGCAACGCGAAGAACCUUACCAGGGCCUGACAUCCCGCUGACCGGUGUAGAGAUACGCCUUUCCCCUUCGGGGGACAGCGGUGACAGGUGGUGCAUGGUUGUCGUCAGCUCGUGUCGUGAGAUGUUGGGUUCAGUCCCGCAACGAGCGCAACCCUUGUUUCUAGUUGCCAGCACUUCGGGUGGGCACUCUAGAGAGACAGCCGGUGAAAGCCGGAGGAAGGUGGGGAUGACGUCAAAUCAUCAUGCCCCUUAUGUCCUGGGCUACACACGUGCUACAAUGGCUGGUACAAAGGGCAGCGAACCCGCGAGGGGGUAGCCAAUCCCAAAAAACGNGUCUCAGUUCGGAUUGCAGGCUGCAACUCG
rnacentral:rRNA from 1 species